rnacentral:rRNA from 1 species
CGCCCUUAGAGUUUGAUCCUGGCUCAGGACGAACGCUGGCGGCGUGCCUAAUACAUGCAAGUUGAGCGUUGGUACUUGUACCAAGAGCAGCGAACGGGUGAGUAACGCGUGGGGAAUCUGCCUUUGAGCGGGGGACAACAUUUGGAAACGAAUGCUAAUACCGCAUAAAAACCUUAACACAAGUUUAAGUUUGAAAGAUGAUUGCAUCACUCAAAGAUGAUCCCGCGUUGUAUUAGCUAGUUGGUGAGGUAAAGGCUCACCAAGGCGAUGAUACAUAGCCGACCUGAGAGGGUGAUCGGCCACAUUGGGACUGAGACACGGCCCAAACUCCUACGGGAGGCAGCAGUAGGGAAUCUUCGGCAAUGGACGAAAGUCUGACCGAGCAGCGCCGCGUGAGUGAAGAAGGUUUUCGGAUCGUAAAACUCUGUUGGUAGAGAAGAACGUUGGUGAGGAAACUCAUCAAGUGACGGUAACUACCCAGAAAGGGACGGCUAACUACGUGCCAGCAGCCGCGGUAAUACGUAGGUCCCGAGCGUUGUCCGGAUUUAUUGGGCGUAAAGCGAGCGCAGGUGGUUUAUUAAGUCUGGUGUAAAAGGCAGUGGCUCAACCAUUGUAUGCAUUGGAAACUGGUAGACUUGAGUGCAGGAGAGGAGAGUGGAAUUCCAUGUGUAGCGGUGAAAUGCGUAGAUAUAUGGAGGAACACCG